rnacentral:rRNA from 1 species
CCUACGGGAGGCAGCAGUGGGGAAUAUUGGGCAAUGGGCGAAAGCCUGACCCAGCAACGCCGCGUGAAGGAAGAAGGCUUUCGGGUUGUAAACUUCUAUUAAGAGGGACGAAGAAAGUGACGGUACCGCAGGAAGAAGCCACGGCUAACGACGGGCCAGCAGCCGCGGUAAUACGUAGGUGGCAAGCGUUAUCCGGAAUUAUUGGGUGUAAAGGGCGAGUAGGCGGGAUUGAAAGUCAGAUGUGAAAACGCUGGGCUCAACCCUCAGCGUGCAUUUGAAACUUUCUUUCUUGAGUGCUGGAGAGGCAAUCGGAAUUCCGUGUGUAGCGGUGAAAUGCGUAGAUAUUCGGAGGAACACCAGUGGCGAAGGCGGCUUUCUGGACUGUAACUGACGCUGCGGCGCGAACGCGUGGGGAGCAAACAGGAUUAGAUACCCUUGUAGUC